rnacentral:rRNA from 1 species
AGCAGCGCCGCGGUAAUACGGAGGGUGCAAGCGUUAAUCGGAAUUACUGGGCGUAAAGCGCACGCAGGCGGUCUGUCAAGUCAGAUGUGAAAUCCCCGGGCUUAACCUGGGAACUGCAUUUGAAACUGGCAGGCUAGAGUCUUGUAGAGGGGGGUAGAAUUCCAGGUGUAGCGGUGAAAUGCGUAGAGAUCUGGAGGAAUACCGGUGGCGAAGGCGGCCCCCUGGACAAAGACUGACGCUCAGGUGCGAAAGCGUGGGGAGCAAACAGGAUUAGAUACCCGGGUAGUCCCUGUCUCUUAUACA